GUGUAGAGUAUACAACUGUGUGGACACCAUUUUGUUGUGAACCGAAUACCGAUCAAAUUUCAUUUUCUUUCGUAAAUUCUCUGUUCCCAGAUACAUCAUUCUGGUUUCUGUGAUAACCGUUCAGGAGCAGUAAGGUUGACCUAUUCCAGUUCCGAUUCCAGUUCAGAUUCCAGUUCCGAUUCCAGUUCAGAUUCCAGUUCCGAUUCCAGCGAUCCGAGACAUUAUCUAAUUCCCGCUUGCGAGUA